rnacentral:rRNA from 1 species
UACGAAGGUCCCAAGCGUUAUCCGGAUUUAUUGGGUUUAAAGGGUGCGUAGGCGGACUAUUAAGUCAGUGGUGAAAGCCCCAAGCUUAACUUGGGAACUGCCAUUGAUACUGAUGGUCUUGAGUACAUUUGAGGUGGGCGGAAUGUGUCAUGUAGCGGUGAAAUGCUUAGAUAUGACACAGAACACCGAUUGCGAAGGCAGCUCACUAAACUGUAACUGACGCUGAGGCACGAAAGCGUGGGGAGCAAACAGG